rnacentral:ncRNA from 1 species
ACGGAGAACCCGAAAAUCCGGACAUGAAAAAGAGUAGGAA